AGCAGCGGUGGGCUGGUGUUCAAAGGUCACAUUUGGGUGCUGAAAUGACACCGGUCGCUUUGGGGAGAAGAUGGAGAUGCUGUUGAUUCAAAUGUUCUUAGUGGCACUCUGCUUUCACAGACACGAUGGUGGCAGAGCUGGUGACAAUGUUUUGGAUGGUGUUGGUGACGCUUGCUUGCCUUAGUUUGUGACUUCAGUGUCUUGGGCAUGUCCUCCCAAAAGUUCAUGUGUUGGGGACUAAAUCCUGGGGGGAAAAAUCAGUGGAAUUUGGAGUUGGGGCCUUUGGGAGGUGAGUGGGAUUAAACGGUGUUGGGAGAGUGCAGCCCCAGGGUGUCAUGGCAGCUUUUAUGAAAAGGAAGGGGUCUGCAGGGCCUAGGGAUGCACCCCUGUAACCUGGGCAGUUAGGAUGUGGAGGCAGGAGGAUCAUGGAUUCGAGUCUAACUUCGGCCACCUAGUGAGUUUGGGAGCAGCCUGAGUUACGUCAUGACGAGCCUCUGCCCCAGACCUUGCCAGCCACGAGCCUUGCAGCGCCAUGAUGCAGGAAGUUCUCCCUAGACGCCAGCAGACAUCAGUGCCUUGUUCUUGGACUUGCUGGCCUCCAGAACUGGACCCACAUAAACUUGCAGUUUCGUAAGUUACCUGUCUCAGAUAUACCAGGACAGCAACAGAAAAUGAACGGAAUGGCAUCAGUGAAGUGGAAGUGGCGUGGGGUGGCUGUGCCGACGGUGAACUUGCUAUUGUGGUGUUGGGAAUAGAGACAGUAACAGGGAGGGUGGAGACGAGACGGGCACUAGGAUGGGGGUGAGUACUCAGAGUGGUGGUGACCAUGAGCUGACCACAGCUCCCCUGCUAAGCUGGUGGUACACAGACUGUGGGGACAUCUCAGCACCUUUCCUGAGCCCAGCUUCCCACGUGCACAUUCCUUCUCAGUACAGGAGAGAUGUCUGUUUUCUGGGGGCCAGGGUUUGGGGGGAUGGUGAUGAGAAAGAGAUCUGGGCCUGGGAACCCAGACGGAGAGGGCUGCUCACGCGGGAGGGUGCUGUUGGAAGGACGUAGGCAGCAGAGAGGCAUGUGAGGCAUGUCAAUGGUGGGGCCCUGCACUGGGGUGGCAGAGAGGCUGGUGGCUGGUGGCGUGCAGGGGCUCACGUAGCUGCUGGAGCAAGGGCUGCACUUCCUGCUGACUCAGCAGAGCAGGCUGGGACCAAUUCUCCCAGACUAAUGUGUCUUCUCCCCGGGAUUAACUCACACAGCUCUGGCUGGGAAAGGGGGAGGGUGACAGCCUCUCCCAUCAGCCUAGGCUUAGAGAUUUUUUUUUUCAGAAGGUCUGGACGGACCAUGGAGCCCAGCAGAGCCAGUGACUGGCCCUGCAUGUCCUGAAUAUCCUCAACUUUAUUCUCAAGAGACUCCCAUUUGGCUGGCAGGAAACCAGGCUCACCUAGUGUCAGGGGAUAGAGCUGCCCCAUCCCACGUGGCAGGUUUUUCUGGCAUCCAUACCCUGGUUCUGCUUUGCAAAAGACGGCAUGGCCCUGGGGCAAAGCAAGUAAACUCAAGUCAGACCACUGAACCUCCUUUUCAGGGUGUGCUGUACUCCACUGCACAGCUGCAUCCUGGGUCAUCUGCAAGGGGCUAUGCUGCUCAUGGGCUGCCUGCCGUGAGGCAUGGACGAGACAAGGUACAAGGGUGGCACACACCGAGCAAGCUCAGCUUUUCCCUGCACUAAAGAGAACUAUCAGCAGCAAUGCUGACCAGAUGCAAUGAAGCCAAGGUCUACAGCAAAGAGAGACUGCAUAAGUAGCUGAUAUCCUCAGCUGGAAAAGAGGUCCUUAAGAAGUGUAUGUCUGGCCGGGCAGUGGUGGCGCACACCUUUAAUCCCAGCACUCGGGAGGCAGAGCCAGGUGGAUCUCUGUGAGUUCGAGGCCAGCCUGGUCUAUUGAGCAAGUUCUAGGACAGGCACCAAAACUAUACAGAGAAACCAUAUCUCGAAAAACCAAAGAAGAAGGAAGAGGAGGAGGAGGAGAAAUGCAUGUCUGAGCCCCGGCAUUGUGGUACACGCCUGUAAUCUCAGUACUUGGGAGGUAGAGGCAAGAGCAGCAAGAGGGAAGGUUUUCCUUGGCUGGUGAGUUAUAGGCUAGCCUGGGUUAUGACUCAAGUGUUCAUGAGAAUCUGAUGCCCCCUCCAAAAGACCCCCCCCCCCAAAAAAAAGGGACUGGAGAGAUUAAGAAUUAAAAACACUGGCUGCUUCCAAAUACCUAGGUUCAAUUCCCAGCACCCAUGUAUGACAGUUCACAAACAUCUGUAACUUUUAGGCCCAGGGUAUCAGACACCCUCUUCUGGCCUCCACAUGCAAUGCGCAUGUGUGGUGCACAGGCUACAUUCAGGCAAAAAUAUCCAUACAUACAAAAUGAAAAGAAAUUUAAAAACCCCAAUCAUGCAGAUGCAUUUUGUCUCUAUAAAAGCUGCACGGGUGUGUGUGUGUGUGUGUGUGUGGGGGGGGGUGUCUUUGAAGAGCUAACAUUAUGUCCCACGUCUGCCUGGUUUAUACUUUUCUUCCUCAGCACUGUGAUUUUUAGAUCCCCUGUGUUGUCAUAUGUGGAUUGAUCUCUUCUGAUUGGCUGCUGCACAGUGUGCUAUCCAAAGCAAGUGAUGCUUCACACAUUCAUUGCCCCAGGUGACAGGCACAUCUCCACCAUAGCCGGACUGCACCGAGAGCCCUUAAUCCCAGCCUGCCUGGAGUUCCCAUUCAGCAGUCAGCAGCCGUUGAUCGCUGAUGCUUACUGCGAUGGGUGUCCAGAGUGCAAGCGUCAAGAUGCAAACUCUAUGUGGCCCAUAUCCCAGCUGUGCUCCUUAUCCAAGGAAAGAGACAAUUGUGGGGAGGGGGG